rnacentral:rRNA from 1 species
UACGGAGGGUGCAAGCGUUAUCCGGAUUCACUGGGUUUAAAGGGUGCGUAGGUGGGCAGGUAAGUCAGUGGUGAACUCCUGUAGCUUAACUACAGAACUGCCAUUGAUACUAUUUGUCUUGAAUACCCUGGAGGUGAGCGGAAUAUGUCAUGUAGCGGUGAAAUGCUUAGAUAUGACAUAGAACAUCUAUUGCGAAGGCAGCUCACUACGGGAAUAUUGACGCUGAGGCACGAAAGCGUGGGAUCAAACAGG